rnacentral:lncRNA from 1 species
CGACCUCUGGGGAAAAAAAAAAAAAAGGAGUGUGACCUCUGGCCACUGGCCUAGAUUCUAAUCCUGGCCCUCCUGCCUGCAAAUGAUAUUACUUUGAUGAAAUCAUAUCUCUAAACCUCAGUUUUCUCACGUGUGAAAUGGGAAUAAGUGUAGUAUUUAUUCCCAUAGUGGUUAAGGGAAUAAAUAACCAUAAUGUACAUAAACGUUUGUAUCAUCCUAAAUAUAUAGUAAACACUUAAGAAGUUAUUCUUUUCUGAAUAGUUAGUUGCUACCUUGAGAAGUAAAUGAAUUGAACAUCGCCCCCUGUCUGAGAGGAAGAAUGGUUGGGAAGAGCAGUAACAUCAUCUAGCAGAGAAGUACCUGGCUUGCUGCCAGCUCACUGAGGGAGUGCUUGGUAGGUAGUGACUGCAUGACGCAAUGGUUAGAUGGCCCCUUAACAGAUACUAAGGAUCAUUCCAAAACCAGUACUCUUUUAGGAACCAAUAUUCUGCAGAUACGCUGCCUAUUCCCCUUUAAUAUAGAUACUCUUAGUUUUAUUAUUUUUCCCUCCCCUUCAGUUACAGGGCUGGUAUGAAGAAAAAUGAGCACAUUAAAUGAGAAUGUAUAAUGUUUUAUAAAUUUAGAUUUCACGCUUGAUUUUCAUUGCUAAUCCAUAAGAGUCCUAGCAAAUCUUUGAUAGAAGAUUUUAUUGCUUCUUUGCCUGAAGAUUACUUUAAGCCUACCCUUUAUUUUCCCUUACCAAAGUAUAAAACUGUACAGCCAGGAAAAUUAUCCUUUGAAUUACUUGCAUGGUGUUAGUACCUUUAGUCACCUGAGCUAAUUUCUUACGUUCUUUCAUAGAAUUUCUUUACAUCUUAUCAUUUGUUACCAUACAAAAUAUCAUGUGAUUUGUUGUAUAACUUUUAUUAAUUAAUCACAUACAGGAUAAAAGGCAAUGAAAUGCAAAGUAACCGUAGGCCUACUUUCUGAGUUUUCUCCCAUAAAAUAGAUGAGACAGAGAUGACUUACUAUGUUGAAUGAUAUACAAAUCCAAAUUUGUAUGAUGGAUUUAUAUUUCAACUAAAUUAUGCCAAGACAAUGUAUAAAAGACUUCUAUUAUGUGUAUGGUUCAUUUUUAAAAAAACUUUAUUGGCGUACAGUUGACUGAUAAUGUUAUCUUAGUUUUAGGUGUAGGGCAAAAGUGAAUCAGUUAUACACAUACAUAAAUCCAUUUUUAUUUCCCAUAUAGGAUAUUACAGACUAUUGGGUAGCCUUCCCUGUGCUAUACGGUAGUCCUUUUUAUUUUUUUAUAAUGAUUUUUUUUCUAUUAUAGCUGUUUUACAGUGUUCUGUCAAAUUUCUACUGUAUAGCAAGGUGACCUGGUCACUCAUACAUGUAUACAUUCUUUUUUCUCAUAUUUACAUGCUCCAUCAUAAGUGAUUAGAUAUAGUUCCCACUGCCAUACAGCAAGAUGUCAUUGCUUAUUCAUUCCAAAGGCAAUAGCAUCCAUUAACCCCAAAUUCCCAGGCAUCCCACUCCCUCCCCAUAGCAUCCAUUAACCACAAAUUCAUCCAUUAACUCCAAAUUCCCAGGCCAUCCCCCUCCCCCUCGGCAACCACAAGUCUGUUCUCUAUGUCCAUGAGUUUCUUUUCUAUGGAAAGUUUCAUUUGUGCCAUAUAUUAGAUUCCAGAUAUGUUAUAUCAUAUGGUAUUUGUCUUUCUCUUUCUGACCUACUUCACUUAGUAUGAGUCUCUAGUUCCAUCUUUUUACCUUUUUUAUAUCCCAUGUUCCUAAUUUAUUCCUCCCCUCUACAGUUGGCCCUAUAGUAAUCAUAAGUUUGACUUUGAAAUCUGAGUUUGUUUCUGCUUUAUGAAUAAAUUAUUUUAUAUUGUUUUAUUAGAUUCCACUUAGAAGUAAUAUCAUGUGAUAUUUGUCUUUCUCUGUCUUACUUCAUAUAGUUUUCUAAUUUCUAGAUCGAUUGAUAUUGCUAUAAAUGGCAUUAUUUCAUUCAUUUUCAUGGCUGAGUAGUAUUCCCUUGCAUACAUGUACCAUAUCUUCUGUAUCCAAUCCUCUCUUGAUAGACAUUUCAGUUGCUUGCCUAUUGUAAAUAGUGCUACAAUGAACAUUGGGGUUCAUGUAUUCCAAUUAUGGUUUUCUCUGGAUAGAUGCCCAGGAAUGGGAUUUCUGGAUCUUCUGGUAGUUCUAUAUUUAGUUUUUUGAGGAACCUCCAUACUGUUCUCCAUAGUGGGUUCACCAAUUUACAUUUCCACCAACAGUGUAGGAGGGUUCCCUUUGCUCCACAUCUUCUCUAGCAUUUAUUGUUUGUAGACCUUUCGAUGAUGGCCAUUCUGACCAGUGUGAGGUUAAUACUUCAUCAUUGUUUUGAUUUUCAUUUCUCCAAUAAUUAGUAAUGUUGAGUAUCUUUUCAUGUGCUUUUUGGCCUUCUGUCUGUCUUCUUUGGAGAAAUGCCUAUGUAGAUCUUUUGCCCACUUUUUGAUUGGUUCAUCUGCUUUUUGAUGUAAAGCUACAUGAAAUGUUUGCAUAUUUUUGAGAUGAAUCCCUUGUCAGUUGCUUCAUUUGCAAAGACUCUCCCAUUGUGUGGGUUUUCUUUUCAUUUUGUUAAUGGUUUCUGUUGCUGGGCAAAAUUUUUUAAGUUUAAUUAGGUCCCAUUUAUUUAUUUUUGUUUUUAUUUUUAUUGUUCUAUGAAGUAGAUCCAAGAAGAUAUUGAUGCCAUUUAUGUCAAAGAGUAUUCUGCCUAUGUUUUCCUCUAAGACUUGUAUAGUAUCCAGCCUUAUGUAUAGUUUAUAAUGUUAGAGAAUGUUAUGGUUUAAUUCUUUUACAUGUAACUGUCUAGUUUUCCCAGCACCACUUAUUGAAGAGACUGUCUUACUGCCAUUGUAUAUUCUUCCUUCCUUUGGCAUACAUUAGUUGACCAUAGGUAAAUGGGUUUAUCUCUGGGCUCUUUUUUUUUUUUUUUUUUUUUUUUUUGACUUUUUGGGCCACACCUGCGACAUAUGGAGGUUCCCAGUCUAGGGAUCUAAUUAGAACUACAUUGGCCAGCCUACCCCACAAACACAGCAAUAUUAGAUCCAAGCUGCGACUGUGACCUAUACCACAGCUCACAGCAAUGCUGGAUCCUUAACCCACUGAGCAAGGCCAGGGAUCGAACCUGCAGCCUCAUGGUUCCAAGUCAGAUUCAUUUCCACUGCACCACAGUGGGAACUUCUAUCUCUGGCCUUUCUAUCCUGUUCCACUGAUCUGUAUUUCUGUUUUUGUACCAGUACCAUAUUGUUUUGGUUACUGUAGCUUUGCAAUAUAGUCUAAAUUAUAAGGAGCUUAAUUCCUCCAUCUCUAUUUUACUUUUUUAAGAUUGCUUUGGCAGUUGGGGGUCUUUUGUGAUUCCAUACACAUUUGAAAUUUUUUCUAGUUCUGUGAAGGAUGCCAUUGGUAAUUUGAUAGGGAUUAUACUGAAUCUGUAGAUUGCCUUGAGUAGUAUAGUCCUUUUGACAGUAUUGAUUCUUCUACUCAAGAGCAUGGUAUAUCAUGCCAUCUUAUUGUUUCAUCUUUGGUUUCUUUCAUCAGCAUCUUAUAGUUUUCAGAGUACAGGUCUUUUGUCUCUUUAAGUAGGUUAAUUCUUAAGUACUUUAUUCUCUUUAAUAUAAUGGUAAAUGGGAUUGUUUCUUUAAUUUCUUGCUUAUCUUUCGUUGUUAGUGUGUAGCAAUGCAAGAGAUAUCUGUGUAUUCAUUUUUUAUCCUGCAACUUUAUAAAUCAUUGAUGAGCUCUAACAUUUUUCUUAAGUUUUAUUGUAGUUGAUUUACAUGGUUGUGAUAAUUUCUUCUGUAUAGCAAAGUAAUUCAGUUAUACAUGUACACACCUCCAUUCUCCUUCAGAUUCUUUUCCCACAUAGAUGAUCACAGAGUUUUGGGUAGAGUUCUCUGUGCUCCAUAAGUCCCCAUUGGCCAACCACUCCAUAUACCUCAGUGUUGAUAUGCCAUUCCCAACCCCCAGUCCAUCCCUCCCCUACACUUGUACACCAACAGUUUUCUGAUGGCAUCUUAAGGAUUUUCUAUGAAUAGUAUCGUGUCAUCUGCAAACAGAGACAGUUUGGUUCAGUCAUAAAGUUAUAGUUUCUACCUGAUCUAUUUGGAAAAUCUCAGGAGAGAAUUAGGGAGUGGAGAAGAUAUGUGAAUAGAUAGCUCUUCUAUUGCUCUAGAAUGCUGUGCCAUAGGACUGUGCUCUGAGAAUUUUGCACACAUAAUCAUGCAUAAAUCUCACCACAUUGUUAUGAAGUGGAUGUUCUUAUUUCUCCAAGUGCAGAAUUAACUUUCCCCAAGGUCACACAGAAGUCUUAAGCUAAGAAAGAACUGCAAAGCCCCUGUUGUUCCCAGUCUACUGUGUUUCUAGGAUAAAGUAAAAUUCAAUCUUUUAUGGGCAUUUUCUUCUUACCAGUGUAUAGCUCAGCUACUUGUCACUGAAUUGCCACAUCUGGAGCUAUUUCAUCUUUUUGCUUACAUUUUACUUUUAUACACUGUUGUAAAAAAGCUGCAUUUCAGGAAGAAACACAGGCUUCUAUUCUGACAUAAAAAUAGGCUAAUAGCAAUGACAGGGAUGACUGUGACAGGGGAAGAAAAGCAAGUGAUAUUGCCAGAUCUUUAUUAGGAGUUCUAGUGUUAAUCAGCAAAGAACAUGAGCAUGUCAUGGUGUGAAAUAACAUAUGAGAGAAGAUGCAAUGUGAUGCUAUGACUGAUUCCAUUUACCAUAUGUUGUGUCGAUAUGCCCAGUUUCCUUGGGGAAUACACUGAAGAUGAAGAGAGAAAGGAAUCCUUCAAAAGUGUAUUGAAUAGUUAUCUAAGUCUGAAUGUAUUCUGAUUAUACCAGCAUGCACAAUGACUCCAUGAGGAUAAUGAAAUAUAGGCCCUUUGAAGGCAUGUUGCACUGUUCUCCAGCUAUUGACAUCCCUCAAAUAUGAGUUAUUUCAACAGGAUGGAAUCUCCAAGGAUUAUUCCAUAGAUCCUGGGGACAAUGUGGAAGGGACCAAGGCCAACUGCUGCUUAUUUGUGAAUUUCUGUUUUUGUAAUUAUAAUAAAAUUAAGCCUCACAUUUUCACUGAUAAUCAGAGGGACAAGUAAUGAAAAGAAAAAUCUCUCCAUAUAGAAGGAGUCAGCAACAUUAUUGAGAAUAUAUUUAAAAUCAUAAUUAUGGAACAUUCAUCUAUUCAAAAGUUAGAUUAAAAGAAUACUGAUUUAAUCUUGAUGCUUAAAAUUCAGUAUAAAGGAAUAGAAGAGGCUAAACGUCUUCUAAGAACUGAAUGAAACAAAAUUUUCAUAAUGUGAAGAAGCUCUAUUUAUCUAUCUGUAGUGCAUAGUAGUGGGCAUGUACAUUUUUUUUGAAACAAGUAUUGUCAAGCAUCAAGAUGAAGUAUUGAAAAUGUAAUAUGGGAGUUCCCAUUGUGGCUCAGUGGGUUAAGAACAUGAAAUAGUCUCCACGAGGAAGUGGGUUCAAUCUCUGGCCUUGCUUAGUGGGUUAAGGAUCCAGCAUUGCUGUGAGCCGCAGUGUGGGUCACAGAUGAGGCUCCAAUUCAGUCUGCAGCCUGAGAACUUCCAUGUGCUGCAGGUGUGACUG